rnacentral:rRNA from 1 species
AUUGAACGCUAGCGGGAUGCUUUACACAUGCAAGUCGAACGAGUGGCGGACGGGUGUGUAAUAUAUCAGAACGUGCCCAGUAGAGGGGGAUAACUACUCGAAAGAGGGCAUAUACCGCAUACUAUUGAAGCGGCCGAUAUCUGAUUAGAUAGUUGGUGGGGUAAAGGCUCACCAAGGCAACGAUCCCUAGCUGGUCUGAGAGGAAGACCAGCCACACUGGGACUGAGACACGGGCCAGACUCCUACGGGAGGCAGCAGUGGGGAAUUUUGCACAAUGGGGGAAACCCGGAUGCAGCCAUCCCGCGUGUAUGAUGAAGGCCUUCGGGUUGUAAAGUACUUUUGGCGGGGAGGCGGUAUCUGCAGAAGAAGCACCGGCUAACUACGUGCCAGCAGCCGCGGUAAUUC